AUCUACGGCCAUAGGACUCUGAAAGAACCGC
rnacentral:rRNA from 1 species